AUGCGAAAGCAGUUGAAGACAAGUUCGAAA
rnacentral:rRNA from 1 species